CUAGUCACCAGCCAGUAGGUCAAUGGCUGUAAUGGCUGGAUAUUGUUCUUUGUUCUCUUCUCCAUGGAAGAAACACCUUGAUUCCUAUUUGUCCCCUUUGUUAAUAACAAGGUGCUGUCAUUGUGAAGACUCCCUGGUCAGACACUGAGUUAUGAAUGGGGCCAAGUAGGGAAGAAUGCACUGGCUUUCAGAAGAAGGACCUUCUUCUUCCUCAUUGCCACCCAGCCUCUUCUGCAGGCUUUGCAGCUAAUGGCUGGCACCUGUGACCUUCAAAGGAUUGUCCCUAGGCACAAAUAUCACCUCAGCUGUACAGAAUUGGAAGCAGUGGUGUGUUGGGCAUACACCUUUGGAUCUCUGAGCCAUCAUGUAAGAAGUUCAGCUACCCUGAAGCCACCAUGUUGGAUUUGCCACUUAGAGACAGAGAUAUUUGAGGAACCCCAACUGUUCUGGGCUCCAGCUGUUUGAGUCUUUCCAGUCCAGGUACAGAUCUGUUAGUCAGGAGGCUUUGGGAAUGGCCUCACCUCCAGCUGCUGACUGCAACUAUGUUGAAGACCCUAACUGAGGAACCACCAAACUAAGCUAAGCUAACCACCAGACAGGGAGAGAUCAAAACAAAUGAUUGUUACUGUUCUGCACCAUUAAAUUUGAGAUAGUUUGUUAUGCAGCAAUAGAUAACUGCAACAGAUGAGUGUAUUUUUGUGGUGACUGGGGCAGUGGAAAAGGAAGGAAAAUGAAUGGACUAUGUUCGGGUAGUGGAGGUGUGAUGGGAUGUAGUGCGCUGAGAGAUUUUGCAGCUGGAGAGCUCUGAAUGGCUAGCAAAAUAAGCCAUGUUUGGUAUUCAUUCAUCAUUCAUUCUUCAUUCAUUCAUGUUUAUUGAGGCCCUACUUUGUAAGGCACUGGGAAUAUAGAAAUAGACAAGACACUGCACCUCCUCUUAAGAAGCUUACAAACUAUUAAGGUAAACCAGGGUAGCAAACACAAUAUUACAAAUGUACAUGUAUAGAAGUAACACAGGAGUGAAUAAUCAUUUUUAUCUGGGAGUAGGAAAGGGACGUCGGGGAGUCAGGAAAGCUUCUUUGAAGGUCAGAGUUUGAAAGAUGAAUAGAAGUAGAGGUAGAUUUACUAUGAAGCUAAUGAAUCUUAAGCUCCAGGGACCCUCAUAUGCAUGGACACUUUCUAAGGUCCUAGUAAUGUACUCAUAUGGCUUUACAUUUUUGUAAAAUUUGAAAAAGUAAGAUAUUUUGACUGUGAUGGAUUAAGACCUUAUAUUAGUCAGGGUUCUCCAGAGAAACAGAACCAAUAGGAUAUAUAAAGAAAGUGACAGACAGAGAGGGAAAGGGAAAAGGAGAGAGAGAGAAAGAUAUAUAUAUAUAUAUAUAUAUAUAUAUAUAUAUAAAAUAAGGAAUUGGUUCAUGUGAUUAUUGAGGACCCCAAAGAGGUUGUUUGCUGUUAUUUUCCUGAGUGUCAUAACUAUUGAUACUUAUCAUGUUGGAAAUCGAAAGUUUGAAAUUGUUUAAAUAUGUAAAUACUUACAGAUUCAUUUGAAGACAGCAUUGAUGAACAUGUUGCAUGUUAACGAUAUCUUAGUUUUUUUUUUUUUGUUUGUUUUUGUUU
rnacentral:lncRNA from 1 species